UACGUAGGGGGCAAGCGUUAUCCGGAUUUACUGGGUGUAAAGGGAGCGUAGACGGCUGUGCAAGCCAGAUGUGAAAGCCCGGGGCUCAACCCCGGGACUGCAUUUGGAACUGCGUGGCUCGAGUGUCGGAGAGGCAGGCGGAAUUCCUAGUGUAGCGGUGAAAUGCGUAGAUAUUAGGAGGAACACCAGUGGCGAAGGCGGCCUGCUGGGCUUUAACUGACGUUGAGGCUCGAAAGCGUGGGGAGCAAACAGG
rnacentral:rRNA from 1 species